rnacentral:rRNA from 1 species
GACGAACGCUGGCGGCGUGCUUAACACAUGCAAGUCGAACGGUGAAGCGCCUUCCUUUUUGGUCGGUGUGGAGGAGUGGCGAACGGGUGAGUAAGACGUGAGUAACCUGCCCCCUUCUUCUGGAUAACCGCAUGAAAGUGUUGCUAAUACGUGAUAUUCUGGGCCGGUCGGAUGAAGGGUCUGGGAAGGAUUUGCUUUCGGUGGGGGAUGGGCUCGCGCCCCAUCAGCUUGUUGGUGGGGUGAUGGCCUACCGAGGCGGUGAGGAGUAGCCGGCCUGAGAGGGUGGACGGUCAUAGUGGUACGGCGACACGGCCCAGACUACUAGGGGAGGCAGUAGUGGGGAAUACUGCACAAUGGGCGGAAGGCUGAUGCAGCGACGCCGCGUGAGGGAUGGAGGUCUUAGGGUUGUGAACCUCUUUCGCGAGUGAAGCAAGCUGGACUCGUUUGUGGGUGGGUUGACGGUAGCUGGAUAAGAAGCGCCGGCUAACUACGUG